CGAAAAAAUCUACUAUACUAAAUAUUUUUUAAGAAAGAAAAAGGCAGUUUUUAUUGCAAUGAAAUUGAAAGAUGACAAAGAAUCGACAGUCAUGUCGAAGAAUCAUGCUUAUCUUAUAGCUCUGAAGAAUACCCAAUUUUAAUAUGUGAGCUCAAACAAGCUAUAGUAAAGCCACAAAAGAUAUUUAGAAAUGCUAAUGUGCUGGAUAAAUCACACUUUUAAAUACCAUAUAACAAUAUUGCUCGAAAGGCAUCACUAAGGUGAAACAUGCAAGGUUCUACGCAUUCUGAUCAUUACCUAUUAUGAAGGAGAAAAGUGAAGCACAAAAUAAUGAAGGCUAUUAUUCAUGGAAUAAAAACAUUACUUAUUCCCAUAACUGAGUUCGAUAUAAACAGAUAUACUUCAUCUUGGAAUACCACAUCAUAUAGUUUAAAAUUGUAAGCGGGUUAUUCAGCUGUUUUAUCACGGUUUUAUUAAUGGACUGAGUGUAACUAUGUUUGUUGUGCUAACCGGCUAUAUUAACUUUUCUCAAUAUAAGAAUAAAUAAUUGUUUGAAUGGUUGUCACAUAUGGUUAUAGAACAAUCAAAGAAGUUUAGUAAAGCAGUCCCGUUAAAUUUGAAACAUAACUAAGUCCUCGCGACGCACAAUGUAAUUCGAUUUUUCACAAAAAGUAAAAGCGCAAGCAAAGGAAGUUAUGGAAAAGAAACAAAACAAAAC